rnacentral:tRNA from 1 species
GCGGGUAUAACUCAGUGGUAGAGUGCAACCUUGCCAAGGUUGAAGUCGUGGGUUCAAAUCCCAUUACCCGCUCCA